rnacentral:pre_miRNA from 1 species
AAUGGAAUUUCUGGGUUAAUUGGUAACUUUAACUUUCUGAGGAACUAUCAAACUUUUUUCCAAAGUAGCCGUACCAUUUUAUAUUCCCACAGAAAU